rnacentral:rRNA from 1 species
UACGAACUGUGCGAACGUUAUUCGGAAUCACUGGGCUUACAGGGUGCGUAGGCGGCCUGUUAAGUAGGGUGUGAAAUCCCCCGGCUCAACCGGGGAAUGGCGCCCUAAACUAGCGGGCUCGAGUGAGGCAGGGGUGUGUGGAACUCUCGGUGGAGCGGUGAAAUGUGUUGAUAUCGAGAGGAACGCCGGUGGCGAAAGCGACACACUGGGUCUUGUCUGACGCUGAGGCACGAAAGCCAGGGGAGCGAACGGG